AGCCAGUGUUUGCAAACAGUCUGCAGGACUCGGCUUGCCUCUUGGCCAAGGCUCAAGCCUCCUUAGAAAACCUGGAGAAGCGUUUUGCCUCUGGCAUCCAUAUGUUAGAGUCCUUUGUCACCCAGCAAGAAGGGAUGCCAAGCCGGAGCAGCCACAGUGACGGAGCCCUGCAGAAGUGGGAAAAAUGCAAGGAACACACCCAAAACCGCUCUCUUCAGACCCUCAUUGAUUUAUCAAGCAAAGCCAGGAAAAAAGGCCAGUGGAAUCCUGUCUCCAGUGAGGUUUGCCGAAGAUGGGAGAAUAUAAUGGAAAGGCCUUUUUGUGCAUGCAAACGUAUGUAGUAGAUUCAGUCAGACAGUAAACAUUCAUGUCAGAAAAGUAUUUUCUG
rnacentral:lncRNA from 11 species